rnacentral:rRNA from 1 species
CAGUAGCCGCGGUAAUACGUAGGUGGCAAGCGUUGUCCGGAAUUAUUGGGCGUAAAGCGCGCGCAGGCGGUUUCUUAAGUCUGAUGUGAAAGCCCCCGGCUUAACCGGGGAGGGUCAUUGGAAACUGGGAGACUUAGAGUGCAGAAGAGGAGGGUGGAAUUCCAUGUGUAGCGGUGAAAUGCGUAGAUAUAUGGAGGAACACCAGUGGCGAAGGCGACUCUCUGGUCUGUAACUGACGCUGAGGCGCGAAAGCGUGGGGAGCAAACAGGAUUAGAUACCCCCGUAGUCCCUGUCUCUUAUA